rnacentral:tRNA from 1 species
CUAGGUGUAGCUCAGUGGUAGAGCGCCCGGCUUGGGACCGGGGGGCCGCAGGUUCGAUCCCUGCCACCUGGA